rnacentral:rRNA from 1 species
CCUACGGGAGGCUGCAGUGGGGAAUAUUGCACAAUGGGGGAAACCCUGACGCAGCGACGCCGCGUGAGUGAAGAAGUAAUUCGUUAUGUAAAGCUCUAUCAGCAGGGAAGAAAAAGACGGUACCUGAGUAAGAAGCACCGGCUAACUACGUGCCAGCAGCCGCGGGAAUACGAAGGGGGCAAGAGUGAUCCGGAUUUACUGGGUGUAAAGGGGGCGUAGACGGCAGUGCAAGUCUGGAGUGAAAGGCGGGGGCUCAACCCCCGGACUGCUCUUGAAACUGUACGGCUGGAGUGCCGGAGAGGUAAGUGGAAUUCCGUGUGUAGCGGUGAAAUGCGUAGAUAUUAGGAGGAACACCAGUGGCGAAGGCGGCUUACUGGACUGUAACUGACGUUGAGGCUCGAAAGCGUGGGGAGCAAACAGGAUUAGAUACCCCAGUAGUC